rfam:Brachypodium distachyon strain Bd21 chromosome 2, whole genome shotgun sequence.
CAUUUAUUCUCUCUGUCCAACAAAAGAUGUCUCAAAUUUGACUAAAUUUGAAUGCAUCUAUACACUAAGUCAUGUCUAGAUACAUUCAAAUUUUAACAAACUUGAGACAUCUUUUGUUGGAAGGAGAGAAUAUAUA